ensembl:snRNA U6 U6 spliceosomal RNA
UUGCUUUGGCAGUAAAUAUACUAAAACCAUAACAAUACAGAGAAGAUUAGUAGGGUCCCUGGGCAGGAAUGACCCACAAAUUUAUAAAGCAUUCCGUAUUUUU